GGGGACGUGGCGGAAUUGGCAGACGCGCAUGACUUAGGAUCAUGUGGAUUACCCGUGAGAGUUCGAGUCUCUCCGUCCCCACCA
rnacentral:tRNA from 1 species